ACCUGGGGGAGGCUGCACAACACAUGCACCUGGUGCCCGUCCCAGACCCACUGAACUGGACUCUCCGGGGUAAGAACCCCAGGGCAUCUAGAAAGUUCCGGGAGACGUUCCUGCACACCUCCCCCACCCUGCCCCUGCAGUUCUCACCACCCCAGGCACACCGCUAACGGCUCCCUGCAGCUAAGAAGUACUUACUUGUUACGAUCCCGGCCAGAGCAAACACAAACUGAUUUUCAUCAGAAUCAAGCUCCUUGACAUCCCCAUCAAGUGACUUCACAAAACUCUCCAUUGUUUGACCAGUGAUGUUGAAAAACUUCAAAGCUUUAUCCUGAAAGUUGGGAAAUGUAAGUAUCACUCCUUUGCCGACACCAGUACAAAACAUUCGAAGAAUGCGAGGGCGCGGAAGACAGACUCGUUUUAAUGACGGAAGCAGUACUCAGAGGUCUGCUCCUUCAGCACGAGCUCCCACGACAGGACCAGAAAGAGGAAGGCUGGAAUCUGCAGGAAACUCACCCUUCAGGCUGACAGAGUGAAAUAAGGCACACGCACGAGACCACAGGCUUCAACCUUUGGACAACGGGUGUUCAAAUACAAUUGUAACAGCAACUUCAACUUGUCAAGAGAUGAGGGCAGCGAGCAGGCCUGUGUGGCAGUUUAAUAAAUCUCUGGGACGUGG